rnacentral:ncRNA from 2 species
UCGCCUGCGGGAGAUGGCAUUCCUCCCGUAAAAAGAACCGCCGGCCCGGCUGAUGAUGCCUACGUGAUC